rnacentral:rRNA from 1 species
UGUUUGGGAAUGCAGCUCUAAAUGGGAGGUACAUUUCUUCUAAAGCUAAAUAUUGGCCAGAGACCGAUAGCGCACAAGUAGAGUGAUCGAAAGAUGAAAAGCACUUUGGAAAGAGAGUCAAACAGCACGUGAAAUUGUUGAAAGGGAAGCGCUUGCAGCCAGACUUGCUUACAGUUGCUCAUCCGGGCUUUUGCCCGGUGCACUCUUCUGUAGGCAGGCCAGCAUCAGUUUGGGCGGUAGGAUAAAGGUCUCUGUCACGUACCUCUCUUCGGGGAGGCCUUAUAGGGGAGACGACAUACUACCAGCCUGGACUGAGGUCCGCGCAUCUGCUAGGAUGCUGGCGUAAUGGCUGUAAGCGGCCCGUCUUGAAACACGGACC